UGGGGAAUUUUGGACAAUGGGGGCAACCCUGAUCCAGCAAUGCCGCGUGUGUGAAGAAGGCCUUCGGGUUGUAAAGCACUUUUGUCCGGAAAGAAAUCCCUUGCCCUAAUACGGCGGGGGGAUGACGGUACCGGAAGGAUAAGCACCGGCUAACUACGUGCCAGCAGCCGCGGUAAUACGUAGGGUGCGAGCGUUAAUCGGAAUUACUGGGCGUAAAGCGUGCGCAGGCGGUUUUGUAAGACAGGCGUGAAAUCCCCGAGCUCAACUUGGGAAUGGCGCUUGUGACUGCAAGGCUAGAGUAUGUCAGAGGGGGGUAGAAUUCCACGUGUAGCAGUGAAAUGCGUAGAGAUGUGGAGGAAUACCGAUGGCGAAGGCAGCUCCCUGGGACGUCACUGACGCUCAUGCACGAAAGCGUGGGGAGCAAACAGGAUUAGAUACCCUGGUAGUCCACGCCCUAAGCGAUGUCAACUAGUUGUUGGGGAUUCAUUUCUUCAGUAACGUAGCUAACGCGUGAAGUUGACCGCCUGGGGAGUACGGUCGCAAGAUUA
rnacentral:rRNA from 1 species